rnacentral:rRNA from 1 species
AUUGAACGCUGGCGGCAUGCCUUACACAUGCAAGUCGAACGGUAACGCGGGGCAACCUGGCGACGAGUGGCGAACAGGUGAGUAAUGCAUCGGAACGUGCCCAGUAGUGGGGGAUAGCCCGGCGAAAGCCGGAUUAAUACAGCAUACGACCUACGGGUGAAAGCGGGGGACCGUAAGACCUUGCGCUAUUGGAGCGGCCGAUGUCAGCUUAGGUGGUUGGUGGGGUAAGAGCCUACCAAGACGACGAUCUGUAGCUGGUCUGAGAGGACGACCAGCCACACUGGGACUGAGACACGGCCCAGACUCCUACGGGAGGCAGCAGUGGGGAGUUUUGGACAAUGGGGGCAACCCUGAUCCAGCCAUGCCGCGUGCGGGAAGAAGGCCUUCGGGUUGUAAACCGCUUUUGGCAGGGAAGAAACGCUCUGGGCUAAUACCCCGGGGUAAUGACGGUACCUGAAGAAUAAGCACCGGCUAACUACGUGCCAGCCGCCGCCGUAACAC